GCAUAGCAGAGAACUCAGGAGGGAAGGCCUUGUUGGGGCAGAGUUCAGGGCCUUCUGAGAAAAGGGUCAAGCCUUUCUCUGCGGUCCAGUGGGCUUGAUUAGCCUCAGAACUGAGGCGCCUGGGAUGAAGCCUGUCACAAACGGAGCUUUAUUUCCUCCCACCCCUAAGAGGCUGCUGAUGAUUCUAGCAAAGGCCUGCCCACUCGUCCUAACCCUCUCCAGCCAGAUGGUGCUGCUUCUCACGUGUGUGGAAACACAGCAGUGGUUCAACGAUGCUCCAUUCUUUACAAGUACCAUCUUUUGCACAAGCAACACUUUACCGUGAGUGGAAC
rnacentral:lncRNA from 1 species